GACCGUUGACUUCUCGAAUUAAUCAUGUGCUGUGGACCUUGUGGAUCGUGCUGCGGAUGUUACUGCUGUGGUCCCUGCUGUGGACCUUGUGGACCCCGAUGUGGUCCGUGCGGAUCCUGCUGUGGACCCUGUGGACCCUGUGGACCUUGUUGCGGACCAUUUGGCAGCUGUUGCGGUGGCUGUUGGUGCUAAAUGCUCACAAUUUGCAGCCGAAACGAUUUGUUACAUCAUGCCACAAUCCCACCAUGGUUAAACUAACACCUGAAAGUUAUAAGCCACAAAUAUAUUGAGAUGAAACUGUAA